rnacentral:rRNA from 1 species
UGAGGAAUAUUGGUCAAUGGCCGAGAGACUGAACCAGCCAAGUCGCGUGAGGGAAGACGGUCCUAUGGGUUGUAAACCUCUUUUGUCGGGGAGCAAAAGGCAUCACGUGUGAUGCUCCGAGAGUACCCGAAGAAAAAGCAUCGGCUAACUCCGUGCCAGCAGCCGCGGUAAUACGGACGAUGCGAGCGUUAUCCGGAUUUAUUGGGUUUAAAGGGUGCGUAGGCGGACUUUUAAGUCAGCGGUAAAAAUUGAGAGGCUCAACCUCUUCCCGCCGUUGAAACUGGGAGUCUUGAGUGGGCGAGAAGUAUGCGGAAUGCGUGGUGUAGCGGUGAAAUGCAUAGAUAUCACGCAGAACUCCGAUUGCGAAGGCAGCAUACCGGCGCCCAACUGACGCUGAAGCACGAAAGCGUGGGUAUCGAACAGGAUUAGAUACC